rnacentral:rRNA from 1 species
UACGGAAGGCAGCAGUGGGGAAUAUUGCACAAUGGGCGCAAGCCUGAUGCAGCCAUGCCGCGUGUAUGAAGAAGGCCUUCGGGUUGUAAAGUACUUUCAGUCGUGAGGAAGGUGUUAAGGUUAAUAACCUUAGCAAUUGACGUUAGCGACAGAAGAAGCACCGGCUAACUCCGUGCCAGCAGCCGCGGUAAUACGGAGGGUGCGAGCGCUAAUCGGAAUUACUGGGCGUAAAAGGGCACGCAGGCGGUUAAUUAAGUUGGAUGUGAAAUCCCCGGGCUUAACCUGGGAAUGGCAUUCAAGACUGGUUAGCUAGAGUCUUGUAGAGGGGGUAGAAUUCCAUGUGUAGCGGUGAAAUGCGUAGAGAUGUGGAGGAAUACCGGUGGCGAAGGCGGCCCCCUGGACAAAGACUGACGCUCAUGUGCGAAAGCGUGGGGAGCAAACAGGGAUUAGAUACC